GGUGGCGUGGCCGAACGGUGAGGCAACGGAUUGCAAAUCCGUGUAACCCGGUUCGACUCCGGGCGCCACCU
rnacentral:tRNA from 1 species